CUCUCUUUUUUCCUCAGUCCCUCUAAAAAAAAUUUCCUGUUGCAGAUCUAUACGAAGAUGAAAACUGAUUUUGAAGUUUUUUGUUUUCCAGGUUGUAGAUCUAUAUGAAGAUGAUAAAAAUGAUUUUAAAGUAUCUAUCAAAACAAAGACGAAUCCGGGUACUAAAACAACAACGACAAUAUGUGUGACAAUAUAAAUUAUGGUUCUACAUCUUCUAAUAGGAAAACAAAAAGUUAAACAUAUGGACAAUUUCUUAACAUUUUUUUUCACUUCUUUUUAUUUUUAUUAAUUUUUCUCUCUUCUUUUUAGAAUUUGUCAUAUAUUUUUAAAAUUUAAUAAUUAUG